GACCCGGCCGGGAAGAGCGGGCGAGGCGGGAUCGGGAUAGGGUUCGGGAUAUGGGGACUGGGGCCCAGCGCGGGCCUUGGGGCGCGCUGUGCUCAUCCGGCCGUGAGGGGAGUGCUGCGCUCACUCCCAGUGCCCGCCGCUCCAGCUCGAGGUUUUUGUGGAUGCAGUUCUGGCAGGUGACUGCAGGAAUAUACCUGCCCUGAAGUUACAAGUUUAUAGACCAGCAUCUGAGAGUAAAAUGAAAGUUGAAGCAGUUUACAUGGGUCUGUCAGAUUUGAAUUGCAACAGAGACACCUGAAGUUGGGAGGCAGUGUUGAGAGGCAAUCCCACCCACACUUGCCAUUGGGAUGUGAGCUUGGAGAGAAGGGAGGAGAGUCAAAAAUGGCACUCACCACUGCAGAAAAGGGAAAGAAAAACAAGAGAAAGGACUGACAAGCCAAGCUGAACCAGCUGAAAUAGAAAACGGUGAGAUAACAAGCAGAGGACAGCAGAAAGGAAGGCCUGACAAGGGUUAAUCAGCAGCAAUGGAAAGCUCAGUAGGAUUACAGGAGUGCAGAGGAGCUGCAGAAGGAGAAUUGUUUAGCUGUGAGGAGGCAGAAAUGGAGGAGAGAGCAGACGUGCAGGAGAGGAAGUUGGCUCGGUCACAGGAUUUCCGUCAGAGACACUUUGCACUGCAAGAGCAAGCAUGGAUGAAGCAAGUGGGGAAGGUAAGCUGGUUCUGUGGGUAGGUAUGACAGUUCAUCAUGAAAAGAAAGGACAAAAGAGUCGGUGGUGAAUGAAAGUUGUGUGUGGUAAAUGUAUAGUUAGGACAUUGCUGCUGAAGCAAACACAUUUCUGUACUUAACAUCAAAAUGCAAAUAAAGCUAAAAGAUGUGCAAGGUUCAUUUUUAAUCAAGGCUACUAGUUGGGAUUAUUUCUUUAGCUUUUCUUCACUCUGUUAUUUUCAUCAUUCUGUUUUUCUUCCUUUUUUAACAGUCUACAAGAUGUUAGUUUUUGCUCUGCACCUUCUUGCAGUAAAAAGCUCUGAAAUAAUAGUUUUCCUGAAAAAGUUAUUUAUCUGUUGUUGCUAGGAUUUAAAUGCACCUGCAGCCCACAGUCUUUCCAUGUUGUUAUAUUCCAUGCCAGCUAAAAAUAAGUGAGACAACUAAGGCUUGUUAAACCGCUUAACAGAUAAGAUACAGCAGCCAAGCUAUGCCCAGAGUAUUCAGAACUGCAAAGGUUCAUCGCAUUGUAAUUAUAAUUUUACUUUUGUUUUUUUGUUUGUUUUUUUCUUUUCUUAAAACCACAUCCCUGACCUCCAGAAGUUAGGGAAGAUGCUUCAGACCAGCCUUUCAGUUAUCAGAAGUAUUUUUUCAAGCACUAUAAAGACAGUAAACAUAAUUUAUUAACACAGAGUUUUAAGGACAGGUUUAUGGCAUCCAAGGCUUUAAAAGAAAGCUUUAAGGUUCUGCUGGUGCAAAAAGACGUGUCUUUGUUGGGGAACACAUGAUUUUCUCUUAAUGUGUGGGGCCACUUUAAAUUUGUACGUCUGCAUUAUUAAACCAUCGUGGGAAGUGUAGCAGGAGGAAACCCCUGGUAAUUGGCUGCAGCUCCAGAUGCAGCCGCUCGCCCAUUGGAGAGCGGAGGAUUCUCCGAGAACUAAAAUUAGACACUCUCCGCCCUCCAGAAAUGCUUCUGGAAACAGCGAGCAGGAGAAAUUCUGACACAGCCCCAGGGCCUGUGGAGAGGAGAGAAGUGCACAGUACUCUGCUCCCAGUCAAACUGCAGCCUCUAAGGAUGCACAGAAAGAUGUUUGGUUUUUUUUUAUCUCGGUUAACUGUAAAAAAAAAAUAAAUGCACGCAAUAAAGAAAUUGCAAGGGGUUAAUGUUAACUGUUCUACAUGGAUAUUAAAUCUAACAUUUCUUAUGUAAUAAUUCUGAAGUGUUCAUGCAGGUUGAGGAAGACUUUAACUGCUAAAUUUAAGCUAGGGCUGUCAGACUUGAGCUCAUUGAAAAGGAACAACUCUUGCUGAAUUAAUUCUGAACUAAACUAAAAAACUGGUGAACUCUUUCUAUCAGCAAUUUUUUUAAAACUAAAACAUGUUUAUCCAUUAUCUCUCUGUAGCUGGAGUGUUUACGCUGUCUUCAAAUGAAACACUGCAUAAGUUAUUUUUGUUAAUUAAAAAAUGCUAUGUGCCUAUGUUGAUGAAGGAAAACCUGUAUCUGAAUUACCCAGUCUAAGGCAUUUGGAACCUUCAUUUUUUUAGGGUAUGUGAAUAAUAACUUCAAUCUUUGGUUUCUAAGCAUAUCUCAGACUGGCUGAGAGGAAAUAAUUGCAUUGUUUUGUUUCUUGUUUCUAUGUUUACAGUAUUUAUAUGACUCACAAAAAAGAUUAGGACAAAAUGGAUUUUUCUUACACUAAAAGCAGCUUGUGCAGUAAAUUAGCUAUUUCCUCAGCAAACGAGGGCACACAGUGUCAGCAUCUAUGGCUCCAAAUAGGGGGGCUUUUUUGUCUUUCCUCCUUUGCAU